AUCGCUUCUCGGCCUUUUGGCUCAGAUCAAGUGUAGUAUCUGUUCUUAUCAGUUUAAUAUCUGAUACGUCCCCCAUCGGGGGAC
rnacentral:snRNA from 8 species